AACGAGGCCGACCUGCGGCUGAGUUACCUGCGGAAGGAUCAUUACCGAGUGAGGGCCCUCCGGGUCCAACCUCCCACCCGUGUUUAACGAACCUUGUUGCUUCGGCGGGCCCGCCUCACGGCCGCCGGGGGGCACCCCGCCCCCGGGCCCGCGCCCGCCGAAGACACCUGUGAACGCUGUCUGAAGUUGCAGUCUGAGACACUAGCUCAAUCAGUUAAAACUUUCAACAACGGAUCUCAG
rnacentral:misc_RNA from 1 species